ACACGACUACAUUAGAUACCCGGGUAGUCCUAGGCGUAAAUGAUGCGAGUUAAGUGGUGGGGCAUCUACGAGAUGGCCCUGUGCUGUAGGGUAGCCGUUAAACUCGCUGCCGUGGGAGUACGGUCGCAAGGCUAGAAACUUAAAGGAAUUGGCGGGGAGCACCACAAGAGGUGGAGGCUGCGGUUCAAUUGGACUCAACGCCGGAAAACUCAUCGGGAGCGACAGCAGUAUGAUUGCCAGGUUGAUGACCUUGCUUGACAAGCUG
rnacentral:rRNA from 1 species